GGUGUGGCUCAAUGGUAGAGCACUUGCCUAGCAUGUGUGAAGCACUGGGUUCGAUCCUCAGCACC
rnacentral:tRNA from 1 species